rnacentral:rRNA from 1 species
GACGAACGCUGGCGGCGUGCUUAACACAUGCAAGUGGAGCGACGAACCAGGGCUUGCCCUGGGGCAGAGCCGCGAACGGGUGAGUAACACGUGGGUAACGUGCCCCGAUGACUGGGACAACCCGGGGAAACCCGGGCUAAUACCGGAUGUGCCCCCUCACAUCAGUGAGGUGUGUAAAGGAAGCUUCGGCCUCCGCAUCGGGAUCGGCCCGCGGCCCAUUAGCUUGUUGGUGAGGUGACGGCUCACCAAGGCUGCGAUGGGUAGCUGGUCUGAGAGGACGAUCAGCCACACUGGGACUGAGACACGGCCCAGACUCCUACGGGAGGCAGCAGUGGGGAAUCUUGCGCAAUGCGCGAAAGCGUGACGCAGCAACGCCGCGUGGGGGAAGACGGCCUUCGGGUUGUAAACCCCUUUCAGUUGGGACGAAGGUCGGGCGGUUAACAGCCGUUCCGGCUGACGGUACCUUCACAAGAAGCCCCAGCUAACUACGUG